rnacentral:rRNA from 1 species
CCCUACAGCCAUACCCUGAGAAUGCACAAUCUUGUGUGAUCUCAGAAGCUAAGCAGGGUCAGGUCUGUUUAGUACUUGGAUGGGAGACUGCCUGGGAAUACCAGAUUCUGUAGGUU